UGUACCACGUGCUUGUCUCUACCCUGACUACGUGCGUCGUAUUUUCCUCUGUACGCUCCCGGAGCUCUGAGAGAGACAUUCGAAAUAAACAUGAGCGACGGUGGCCAUUGUGGCCACUAGCAGAAGUGGCCAGUAUCACGUUUAUUACCAGUCGAGGAAGAGAGGGAGAAAGGGGUACCACCCCUACCUAGUUGGCAUCAACAAAGCCCAAAAUCUUAUGUUAUUUAUUUAUUUAGUUGUAUGGUUAGAUUUAUUGUUUACUUUUCACAAUCUAAACUCCACCGGGACCACGUAAGGUUCCCUGGCACCCUCUACAUCCCACAAAAGAGAAAAGCGUUCUCACACACACCCUCACACACACCCUCACACACACACUCACACACAGACACACACAGACAGACGUGAACGAAGACAUCGAACGGUCAUGUUCCACCUCGCUUGUUUCCCCAGGGCCGGUCCAUAAUCAGGACCCUAACUACAAUUGAACCACAAAAUUCUCCUCGGUCGGCCACCACAAUCCCACCCCUACCCCCUUUACACCAACCAUGGCCAGCAAACGGAAGUCCACCACCCCCUGUAUGAUCCCUCAUAAGGCCAUGCACCUUCGCGAGGAACUGGAACACGACCUGUGCCUGUCCGACCCACCAUUCGUUCUCCGGCAGGUCCGGGACCAAGGUUACCCCCCGAAGGGUGGAAACGGGGAGAGUCCCCGUGAGCGAUCACCUGGCGGGUCUUCCAGGGCCGAGGCGGGGGUCGACAGCAUCACGGCCAAAGACGGCGGCGGUACCUACACGUGCCGGCCGUGCAACUUCGAGACUCGCGACCUCAACCUUUUCCUUGACCACGUCUACAGCGGUCACCCGGACUUCCGAGCCGACCCGAGCUUCCAGUGCGUGGACUGCGGCGUAUCAGCGGCUAAGUUCGAGGGCCUAGCCCUGCACAACGCCCGGGUCCACCCAAGCACGGCGACCACCACCCUCCAGCUGAGGCGGAGGGAGAGGAGGGCGGUGGUGGAGCAAAGCCUGGUCACAGGGGCAGAGACAGGGAAGGACGCAGAGAUCUCCAUCACCAAGACCCCUAUCAUGAGGAUGCUGAAAGGGAAGUCCGAGUCCAAGAGGAUUUUGGUGUCCCAUUCGUCCCCGGAUGAACCCGAUCCCCUACCAGCCUCAGUCUCCGUCCCCAAAGAGACUGAGAGAAGAGAGACCCCGGCGGUAACGGUUACGCAUGUCCCGACCAUCGUGCACAACGGGAUGGCCACCAAGGUAUCGCUACCCUCAGCUAUUCAGAUUGUAAACGGCUCGGGGUCUCUGCCAAUGCUGAAGACUGCCAUCACACAGGUUGUGUCCGUGGUCCAAAACAGGAACUUUCACCAUCAGACGUCUCCCAUCACAGUCUCCUCAACCCUUUCCUCCACCUCCUCAACCUCAUCGUCCUACACCACAUCCAAGAACAUGCCCAAGGUGAUGAUUCCAUUGAGCAGCAUCCCUACCUACAGCGCCUCCAUGGACUCCUCUUCCUUCCUCAAGACGUCCUUCAGCAAGUUCCCCUACCCCACCAAGGCAGAGCUGUGCUACCUCACUGUGGUAACCAAGUUCCCAGAGGAGCAGAUCAAGAUCUGGUUCACCGCCCAGAGACUCAAGCAGGGCAUCAGCUGGUCCCCGGAAGAGAUUGAGGAUGCCAGGAGGAAGAUGUUCAACACCAUAAUCCAGACAGCACCACCCAGCACCCAGCACCAGACGUUGCACCGCGGCCAGACCCAGACGCACCACAGCCCGGCGCAGCACACCAUCACAGUCCUGCCCGCCUCUCUGGGGCCUACGGGGAUCCCACACAUCCUCCAGGGAUCUCUGGUGGGCCAGGGAGGGGUGAUCGUCACCCAGCCUAUGAUGGCAAACGGCAUCCAGGUCAGCAGCGCCCCUGUGGCACUGGCGGUCACGCCUAAGCACCAGGCUGCGGGUCGGCCCACAAUGCAGGCCCGGCCUGCCGCCGCCCUAGUGGCAGAUAAGGGGAUUAGCAUGGUGGUGGGGACAGUGGGGAGCAGUAGUAGUGGAAGCAACAUCAGCAGUAGCAGCAGUAGUAGUAAUGGUGGAGGUAGUACCAGUAGUAUUAUUAGCAGUAGUAGUAGCAGUAGUUACAGUAGUAGUAAUUUCGGGAGCCAUGCUAGCGUAAUUAAUCUUAGCCUUGGCAACAACCGAGGGAAUGGUGUUCAUAAUACCAAUAACAAAAUCAUCAGCACAAGUGGUAAAAUUAGCCACGCUGUCGCAAACCUCAAUGGGAAAAGCAACAGCAUUGUUGUCAGCACAGUUAAAAGUGCUAUCGCCGACACCAGGUACAACGACGUCGGCAAAAGCAACGGCAGCACUAUUGCUAAAAUCGGCGAGAGUAAAGCCAUUGCAGACAUCAAAAGCACCGUCGACAGCAAACCCAACAGCAGCCAAGAUGUUAGCAGCAGCUCGAGCAACAAGAAGACAAGCCCCAUGACAACCUGUGUUCCAGCAGGGGCAGCUACUCCUCCGCCUGCCGCUUCCACAACCAACACGGGUGACACCAGCAACCCCACCACCAGCAAAACCGAAGCGGCUUCUUCCCCUUCGGCCAAACCUCCCUCCUCCUCUUCUCCGGCGCCGAGCGGGAGCACAGAUGCCAGUGGGAUCCCCAGCUCCCGAACACUCCCUAACAGUUUCCUGGACCCCAGCUUCUACAAGAGCAAGAAGACUGUGGAGCAACUGAGCGCACUCAAAGAGAGCUUCACCAAGAGCCAGUUUCCCAACCAGGAGGAGGUGGACCGCCUCAUCGCCUUAACCGGCCUGACUGUGCGCGAGGUCCGCAAGUGGUUCAGCGACCGUCGCUACCACUUCCGCAACCUCAAGGGUGGACGUUCAAGCACAGGGGGUCAGGGUGGUUCAGGCACUUCAACUGCACUCGGGUCAGCAAGUGCACCCAGCCCAUCUGGGACCCCUGGUAGUGCCCCAAUGGACCUCUCAGACACUGCAACUCCCAGCGAAACCCCCCCAAAAAAGCAGCAGGGCUCUACAGCCCUCAGUCCCCCUCCUUCACAGACGCCCACUUCUCCCACCACGCCGUCCAGACGACCCCCAAGACCGCCCUCUCCAGACUUCACAGCUAUCCGAUACAAAGAGAGGGACCCACUGCAGGUGAGGGCGCUGGAGGCCAGCUUCAAGCAGGACCCCGAGCCCUCUGGGGAGGAGGUCGAUCGCCUCCGGGCUGAGACCAAGAUGACCCGCAGGGAGAUCCAUGGCUGGUUCGCUGAACGCAGGAAGAGGUUUGCCGCUGAGAAGAAGAAAGAGGAGUCCGAGAGGGCGGAGAAAGUAAAGGAGAUGGACACAGGGUUGGUACCAGGUCAGACGAAGGAUGAUGGCGGGGUGAAGGAAGAGGAGGAUGUGGAGGAGAGGCAGAAGGAGGACAGUUCAGGCUCCGAGCUUAAGGUGAACCCCAUUAAGAUCAACCUGAAGAUGCUCAAAGUGACAGAGUCCAACGGCAAACCAGAGAUUGAAGGGGGGCAAGCAGACAGCCCUACGAUGCCUACUCUGUCACCCCCAACCCUGACCCCCGCGCCCUCCCCAGCCCAAAUUGGCACCCCUGCUUCAACCACAAUUCCAACUCUAACUCCAAAUCCAUCCCCAUCACCCAAACCCUCCCCCUCCACAACCCCGAAACCAACAGCACAAUCAUCUACUCCUGCCCUUAAGCCCUCCUCGUCCCCCAAACCCUCCCCUAUCCGGGGGAAGAAGACGUUAGAACAGCUCCACCUCCUAAAGCAGGUGUUCGCCCGAACCCAGUGGCCCAGUGCGGCCCAGUAUGACGAGCUGAUUUCUUCUACUGGAUUGCCCAGGCCCGAGGUAGUGCGCUGGUUCGGGGACUGUCGCUAUGUGCAGAAGAAUGGUCAGUUGAAGUGGCUGGAAGCCUACCAGACCAUGGUGCUGGAUGAGGACUUCCAGAGAGGAGACACUCAGAUGCUCAAAGCCCACCUGGAGGCCCAUGGGAGUCUGGAGGAGGAACAGGUGCUUGAGCUUGCCCAGGCCAGUGGGCUGACGGAGGAGCUGGUGCGACGCUGGUUCUCCACCCAGGCUCCUCUGCUGCUGCAGGGGAAGAACAGGGGGAUCGCAGCGGCUGAGGAGGGCGUAGCGGGUGAGACUCCUGGGGUGGAGGGAGCAACUGUAACCCCCAGCCCUGCAGCCAUGGUACCCAUGGAGGGAGGAGCAGCAGAGCCGGUCCAAGGAGAGGGGGAGGUGAAAGAGGAGAAUGUAGAACAGUCUGUGUGCGGAGGAACGAAAGAAGGGGAGGAGAUAAAAACAGAUAACACCGUGACUCCUGAAAAAGUUCGGCCUCUGUAGAUUGGCUGGUGAAGUCUUCUGCAGAUGGUAGCUGACACAUCCAUGCCUACCUCCUGGAGUGUUCCUGAUCUAUCGGACACUGUACAAAAAAAUGUUAUGGAACAGACUGAGGAGGGAUAUUUGUCUGAUCGGGGAAAGGAGAAGUGAGUGAGCGAGGGAGGGAUGGAUGGAGAGAGAGGGGUGGCCCAGAGGGACAAUGCAGGUGGUCUUUGCACAGGGCCUGUUUGAGUGCUUGACAGAUGUGAUUGUAACUGGAUCACUGGAAAUGGACCCUGAAACCUCUCUCUCUCCCACACACAACCCUUUGCUUGGGGUGGACUCUUAUUACCCAACCCCCAUCUUUCACCAACUCACUCUGCUAUGCUGAAGAUGGUACCUGAAAUCCCCACCCACAAAUCCCAUCUGAAACCUCCCACUGCUCCAAUCUGCCAAUCUCCUUUCGAACAAUUUCCAGACUCGACAGUCUGUUAUCCUCAGGAUUGGCAGAGAUGGGAGUACCGGGGAGAUUUCUCUCCUCCCUUCUACUACAAACCCUGGUGUGUUUGGAGAUAGAACAAUGUAAGGGGAGAGGUGUGGUUGAGUUUUGGACUCCUACAGAUGGGGUAGAAGGGGGAUGUUAAAAAAUAAAUAAAAAAAUCCUGACUGGACAGAUAUCGACCAAGCCAAUCCUGUAGUGUGAGGCUCACCAGUGUGUGAAGAGAGAGAGGAAGCAGAGCAAGAGAUUGACUGAGGUUUUUGGUACUGGGGUAUGAGAUGAAAACUGCACAGACCAGACCUUUUUUUCUCUUUUUUUUUUUUUAAAAAGGAGACUGGAGGUCAAUAGAGAAACAGAUGUAUCUUUGUUUUAGCAUCAAGUGCGUCUGUUCUGUGCGUCAUGAAUGUUUGUUUCUGUUGUCAGAAAGCUUUGUUGAAAUGUAACAUCUUGACAGGCUGUAAAAGAAGCUCCAACACAAGUCUGUUGUAUAAUUUUUACAGAUGUUAUUUGCAGAAUAAACUAAAUGAAACAAA